rnacentral:rRNA from 1 species
AUGAACGCUGGCGGCGUGCUUAACACCUGCAAGUCGAACGAAGCACUUUAUUUGAUUUCCUUCGGGACUGAUUAUUUUGUGACUGAGUGGCGGACGGGUGAGUAACGCGUGGGUAACCUGCCUUGUACAGGGGGAUAACAGUUGGAAACGGCUGCUAAUACCGCAUAAGCGCACGGCAUCGCAUGAUGCAGUGUGAAAAACUCCGGUGGUAUAAGAUGGACCCGCGUUGGAUUAGCUAGUUGGUGAGGUAACGGCCCACCAAGGCGACGAUCCAUAGCCGAGCUGAGAGGGUGACCGGCCACAUUGGGACUGAGACACGGCCCAAACUCCUACGGGAGGCAGCAGUGGGGAAUAUUGCACAAUGGGCGAAAGCCUGAUGCAGCGACGCCGCGUGAGCGAAGAAGUAUUUCGGUAUGUAAAGCUCUAUCAGCAGGGAAGAUAAUGACGGUACCUGACGAAGAAGCACCGGCUAAAUACGUG